GCCCGGAUAAAAGAGGAGGGUUGCAAAAUAUCAAAUUUGAUUAAAGCUGCUCUCAUUUAUUUUUUGGAUACAACAUUGGGUUUUGGAGAUCCACAUUCUACCGAACUGAACUAAGAGCACCAUAAUUGGAAAUUGUUUGAUAUCUUUCUCCUAGGAAGGAGUGAAACAUAAUCAAUUUGAAUUCAGGACCCUUUUUUGAUUUGUUAUCUCAUGUUUGCUUUCUUUAAAAAAUACCAAUUGAGGUGGGUGAGUAAAGCUGUACCAUUGCCUGCAUCCGUGGCUAGUCUUAACUUUUCAGUGAAAAAGGUUGCCUCAAUACAACAAAUAACGGAUUCAAGAAAGCAAUAACAAGAUCAACAAAUUGAAAUCAUAUAAAGGAUGUUGGGGCAUCGUCU
rnacentral:misc_RNA from 1 species